UUAGAUGGUGUUUGUUUACUUACUGAGAUUUUAUAAUCUCACCACCCUCAAUUCCCCACAUUUCAAGUUCGGGAUAGUCGGUAGAUAGCCGAUUGCAUCAAGGACUUCAGUUAGCCUUGCAUUGUCAAAAUUAUAGGUUCACAGACUCGCAUCUUAUUGGUUAGUUGGGGGCCCACAUGUCAUUGUAAAAGUAAUUUUAUACUUUAGUUAUCUGAUUUAAAAUAUGUAUGAACGUAUUUAGCUUUUACACCAUGUUUUU
rnacentral:lncRNA from 1 species